GGCUGCACACGCCCGUGGCUCCGAGCGGCCCCGGCCUGGGGUCAAACCAGGAAGGAGGAGGGGUGGACCUCAAGGCUGGGAGAUCCGACUUUAUUUAUGUUGCUUCAACUUGUCCUGAACGGUUAGACGAGGAGCGCUUGCGCGCACACACACCACGGGGAGUCCAAGCCCUCGCUGGCUCGACCCGCCGGCUCAGCGCCCUGCGCGCCCUUGGCCCGCCCGAAGGCCCUGGCGUCAGAGGGCUCGGCGGCGGCCUCCUCCGUGCGUGGUUGGGGAGGACUUGGCCCCAGAAGGGCCACCAGCUGAAUUUUCCCGGACUAGGUGGUCUUGAGCAACUCGGAAAGGUUGCUGAUGAAGACAGCUGUCUCUGUAUAAGGAGGCCUUGGCUGUGGGCCUGGCGAAAUGAUGGUCGGCCCAGUCAUUCAACAGAUGCCUGUGGAACACCUGCUACGCUCCAGAAUAUGGGCCUGAAUGAGACAGGCAACAUGGACCCUACAGUCUAGUCUGAGACGCAACCAAACAACAGGUGUCUUGGCCUUCAUUAGCUGCAUCAAGUGUCUGUCCUCCCCAUGGCCUGGGAGCCCAGCUCUCUGGAGGGCAAGGGGACUGACGGCUUCCUCCCGUCCUGGGCUGAGCCCCCGCCCUGCCUAUCCCGCACCGUGCUGCCGACCCACUCACUGGCCAGACGGAAGGCUCUGACGAGGGAAAAAAAGACAACUUCUCGAAGUGCGUCAGGUGCGAGUCCCAGACCCCGCGUGGUCUCUUCUGACAAAGGCUGGCAGAUAAGAAAUAAAGCUGCCGGUGAUUUGUUGGUCUGACUUUACCUAUCUGAAAAAGGCAUUCCACGCUUCGAAUGACACUCUCGAGCAUUUCCGAUCCUGUCUACGGAUCCCAGAAAAUUCACAAGGCUGCGAACAUUAUCGCCUGCGGUACCUGGGGACGUGGCGUAUUGGUGGCGGGGCAAACAGAGAAAGAAAAUGAAUGGUUUGCACGGACACAUAUGAAGAUAUUGAUGCCCAGAUUGGUAAAUUCUUACAAAUGCCACUGCUAGAAUAUUCGCCUUAAUCCAGAGCGAUUUCUUUGUAUGAAAAGUAAUUCCUAAUAGAGAUUCCAUCACCCUCAGGAAAUUUUCCAUUCAAGUAUGUCUUCCGUACCUUAGACGGGAGGACGUUUCUUUGUCAGUUAGGACUGCUGGUGUAUGGGUUCCCCUGUUAGGGAGGUAAAACUUACCGCUUACUCCUUUUGUAUGAGGGGAAAACAAAAGAGGGAUUCUCUUUCCGCCGGUUUGUUUUCUUGAGCUUGUAAUUUUAAAACAUCUUCUUUCAGGCUCCCUUAUAUAUUGACUACCACAGCACAGAAGUCAGGCAAACGGGACUUUGUCACCUGACAAGUCUGCCUCCCGCUGAGAAAUCAGGCAGGGAUGGCUGGGUAAAAGUCCCGGGCUCGAACGCAGUUGCGUGAUUUCUUAUGAUGAAUAGCUUGGACGGACGCUGAUCAGCAUUACUUUCUGGUUCUACCUUAUUCAGCAAGACUAAUGCAUGACAUGGCCCCAGAGGCUGCAGUUUGUUAAUUUGCAGAUGUCUUUGCUCACGUCUGUCUGACCAUGCUGGCGGUCCCCCUCCUCUCUGUGCCCUCAAGGUGGAGCGUGGGCCCCCUGUCACGGUUUCCCCCGUCUUCUCACCCGCCCACUGGGUUCUGCGACCUGGGCACCCUCCGCCGGGUCCACUCAGGGAAGCAAGUCUGGAUCUUUCACAUGCUGAGGAUGUACACUGCAGAAAGCAAAAGGGAUCCCGGUGAUUCGAAGACGGAGACAUAGACGCUGUGCCUUAUACCAUCCUUACCUCUAGGACACACGUCUUCCAGGAGGCUGGUGGACGUAUGUAAUCAAAUGGGCGGGAAGAAAUGAAAACUUGUUUGUUUUUUUUGCACUCGGAUAUUUGGAUCACAAGACCGUCUCUCGAGAGAUUACAGCUGGAGAAACCACUAUGCACGUGGAUCGAAGGGUUUCAGGGAGAGUCCCCCGUCGGGCAACCAGAUCAGCUGACGUGACGUCACUGCAGCUUCAAGGCUCACUUAAUGUUAUUAGGGAAGAGUAAAGGCUAAUUUCAACUGUGUGAAAUGCUGAAUAUGUGAACAGAGAUUCACAAACCCGGAACACCACAGGCUGGCUUCUGGGCUGGCUGCCUUCGAUGUUUGUAGCUUUGAGGGAGCAACCGCUUAAAACCACCCCAAGGCCAAGUUCCUGCACAUCUAUUUGAAGGGACCGAGUUCCCUUGGUGUGAGUCACGACGCAGGGACCCCUUCUGGGAAGGACGUGUUGCCCUGGUGUGGGAAUGAUUCCACAGUACGGAUGCCAUUUCCCUCCUAGGUCUUAACCUUUCGUAGCGAGACAGACAACCAGGAAAGUAGGAAAUCGAAACAAGCUAUGUUUAGCCGAAUUUUACAUACCAUAAUCUCUUUACCAUGGUCAAGCAAGGCAGGAAUGCUCAAGCCGAUCAGUUCUGGCACAAAUCCAUUCCAGAGGGGAGUGAUUUACAACUCAGCUCCGUUCUUGACUCUUCCCUGAGAGUGAAGUUAAAUGACCCAAGAAUAACAUGACUCUGCACCAGCACUGGCGAGAAUGGUUUUCUAAAGGGUGGUCUCGGGAGUAGCUUUUCACCUGCAGAAACUCAAGCACAGACACCGCUCCGAAGUCCUGGGGCAAAGCCUCAAGUGUGCCUUAAAAGCCCGUGUCCCGAUGCAUCGCUUGAAAUGUUUUUGUGGCCGCGUGCCAGGGUGCCGCAGGAGAAAUAAAAGAGAACCCCACACAGGACUGAGCUGGAACUUCAUACAACUUUUCUAUAAAUUACAGCAAUAAAACGAAUACUGCUGAUAAUAGUAAUGAUGAUGAUAAUGAUAAUAAUAAUAACAAAUGCCUUCGUCAGUUUUACUAAAAGCAUUUUGGACCUUGCAGAGGAGAAAAUGAGACUGGAUGUUGGAAGCUUUGGGAUUUGUAAGAACCUUCCAGCACGAAGGGAACACCGGUCUUAGAAUGAAAUCUCUGCCACGAUCACUGUCUUCGCUCUGCUGGCAAACCAGCCCCCACGCUGGUCAUCAAAUACAUCCUUCAAGUGAAUUUUCUGGCAAAUGAAGUGUUGCUCCCCAGAACUUAGCGAUGCGGGCUGCCCGGCCCGUAUUAAACGGAGCCAGGCCCGGUUAGGGGUGGCAGUCAUUUCGGGGUCAAGUGUUUGAACAUCUGGUACCUCCUCGGAGCCGGCAUCAGCUCAGACACCUCUGUUUGGGCAGGAGCGGGAGGAAGCCCCCGGCUGCCAUUCUUUGCAUUGGUUUCCUGUCGCCUCUGCUUGUCAGGGAAGAAUGCCCGAGUGAGGGCACACAGCUGCACAACUCCUACCACCCUGUGGUAACUUCCUGCCAUGACAUACACUCCCCAGACGGGCCUCCAGUGUCAUUCCUGCGAGAAACGUCCCCUUGGGCGCCUGGGUGCCCCAUUUUACCCUGCAGCCCACGGGGCAUCAUUAGCAGACCUCCGGAGGUCAACCGUAGCACGUAUUUGCACAUUUCGAGAGAUCUCAGACUCACCAACGCUGGCUCUGAGGGGCGGAGUCACGGCCACGAGACAGAACCAGAACGAGUUUCAGGAAGAGCCAACAGGGACAUCCCAAGUCCAAAGCUCUCUCAGGGGCUGGGGGUCCGGAAAGGAAAGUGGUGCCCACCGAAGCUGCCAGAAGCAUGCACCGCGUCUGCGUUUUCUCCCAGCAUGUACAUCUCACAAAUGUUCCUUUUCCACAGCAUGCCCCCACCCCCAAUUUUAUAUGUAGCAGAUGGCCUUCAAACAAAUCAAGGACAGAAGCUGCAAAAGCCUUAAAGAAAAAAAAAAAGACAGUGAAACUCAUAUAUUUCUUCAAACGAUAAGAUGAACUACAGAUGUUUGCUGAAGGCUGAUGGUACUGCCUAUAACUUAAGACGCAACUUAAAAGAAGAUUCCACUUGUGUUUAGCGUUGGACAAGCCCGGUAGCUGUCAGGGUGUGAUUUAUGGAGGUUGUUUGUGAGAUUUGAUGUCACUGGGGACAUGGCAAUUAAAAUGCUCUGCCAUUGGGCCCCACAAAGCAUCUUCCUGUGUGGACCCAGGCAUGGAGCCCAGGAUGGAAAUGUGGU